GGGGUGGAAUCAGCUUGUGGGGGAGACUGGCGAGGGCCCUUGGGUGUGGGCUCUACCUCUGGGCCAGUUGUGAAGUCGUCCGAGAAGUCGGAAUAUUCAACAGGGAAGGCGGCCAUGUUUGGGCCCAUUGCGCCCUGUGCCUGUCUCCAGAGAUCGCCUAUGCUCACUUGCUGCCGUGGCUUGUUGGGCUUGGGUUUCUUCAAUUUCCGC